GCAACUCGCCUACAUGAAGUCGGAAUUGCUAGUAAUCGCGGAUCAGCAUGCCGCGGUGAAUACGUUCCCGGGCCUUGUACACACCGCCCGUCACACCAUGGGAGUCGGUAACACCCGAAGCCUGUAGUCUAACCGCAAGGAGGACGCAGUCGAAGGUAGAGCCAAUGAUUGGGGUGAAGUCGUAACAAGGUAUC
rnacentral:rRNA from 1 species